GCACUUUAAGCAGUGAAGAAGACUCUUCGGUUAAUACCCGGGGACGAUGACAUUAGCUGCAGAAUAAGCACCGGCUAACUCUGUGCCAGCAGCCACGGUAAUACAGAGGGUGCAAGCGUUAAUCGGAAUUACUGGGCGUAAAGCGAGCGUAGGUGGCUUGAUAAGUCAGAUGUGAAAUCCCCGGGCUUAACCUGGGAACUGCAUCUGAAACUGUUAGGCUAGAGUAGGUGAGAGGGAAGUAGAAUUUCAGGUGUAGCGGUGAAAUGCGUAGAGAUCUGAAGGAAUACCGAUGGCGAAGGCAGCUUCCUGGCAUCAUACUGACACUGAGGCUCGAAAGCGUGGGUAGCAAACAGGAUUAGAUACCCUGGUAGUCCACGCCGUAAACGAUGUCUACUAGUCGUUGG
rnacentral:rRNA from 1 species